rnacentral:misc_RNA from 1 species
AAGGUCGUACGAGGUUACCGUAGGUGAACCUGCGGUAGGAUCAUUAAAUGAGAUAGGGGUUUCUUACGAGCCCGACCUCCAAUUCCUUUGUCUACCAAAGCCUCUGUUGCCUCGGCGGGCCGCCGGCGCCCUUUAACUAGGUGCGCCGUUGGGCCUCUGCGCUCUGAGUGCCCGGCCGCAGGACUAUACAAAGCUCUUUUUGGAACAAGGUAUAAUCUGAGGAUAUUUAAUGCUUCAAUU